CAUCGGCCUGUGUGCACAUAGUAGCCUUCUGGGUGGGCGGAGCCCAGUCCCUUCCUAGGGGGGACACGGUCCUAGGCGUAGGAUCAGCCGGUCCUACGACUUAUAUUCUGCUUGCCGCCGGGUAUAGUAAGACCCCGCGAGGUGCAGUAUGGCUUUCCGCGGAUGUAGAAUUCUCGCGAGGUGCCGUUUAGUAUAUAGAUGUGAGAUGUUUCUAUGGAUUUCUGUUCUAGAUACUGGCUAGCAUU
rnacentral:lncRNA from 1 species